rnacentral:rRNA from 1 species
AUUGAACGCUGGCGGCAUGCCUUACACAUGCAAGUCGAACGGUAACGGGCCUUCGGGUGCCGACGAGUGGCGAACGGGUGAGUAAUGCAUCGGAACGUACCUUUCAGUGGGGGAUAACGUAGCGAAAGUUACGCUAAUACCGCAUAUUCUGUGAGCAGGAAAGCAGGGGAUCGCAAGACCUUGCGCUGAUUGAGCGGCCGAUGUCAGAUUAGCUAGUUGGUGAGGUAAAGGCUCACCAAGGCGACGAUCUGUAGCGGGUCUGAGAGGAUGAUCCGCCACACUGGAACCGAGACACGGUCCAGACUCCUACGGGAGGGCAGCA